rnacentral:rRNA from 1 species
CAUUACUGAAGAUAAUAGGGUUUGAGACUGCGUCCCUUAAAUAAGGACGUGUGCUCGACUCUUACUCUUUAUCCACACACACCUUUGUGCACCAUGGGGACGAACAGUCCCCCCUUUUACAUAAACACCAAGUUAUAUGCAUGUCUUAUACUACUCUAYGGAGUAAUAAAUGUACAACUUUCAACAACGGAUCUCUUGGCUUUCGCAUCGAUGAAGAACGCAGCGAACGUGCGAAACGUAAUGUGAAUUGCAGAAUUCAGUGAAUCAUCGAAUCUUUGAACGCAUCUUGCGCUCCUUGGUAUUCCGAGGAGCAUGCCUGUUUGAGUGUCGUGAAAUACUCUCAAUUUCAAUCUUUUUGUUUGAAAUUGGAUUUGGGUGCUGUUGUGGAUUACUACAACUCAUCCUAAUUGCAUUAGCGAUCUGCCUUGAUCACACGCAAUGUGAUAAUAAAAAAGCAUUGUUAUAAUCGAGUCAGGAUGGCUUCUAACUGUCGAGAGACAAGCAUGUAAUACAUGUCAUUUGACCUCAAAUCAGGUAGGACUACCCGCUGAACUUAAGCAUAUC